UACGUAGGGGGCAAGCGUUGUCCGGAUUUAUUGGGCGUAAAACGCUCGUAGGUGGCUACGUCAAGUCGGACGUGAAAUCUCCCGGCUUAACUGGGAGAGGUCGCUCGAUACUGGCGAGCUCGAGGCAGGUAGGGGGAAGCGGAAUUCCCGGUGUAGUGGUGGAAUGCGUAGAUAUCGGGAGGAACACCAGUGGCGGAAGGACGG
rnacentral:rRNA from 1 species